UUUCAUCAUUCGACGUUUAACUUCAGUACUGGUAGGUUUGACAACAUUAACGUUACAACAUGGCGAGAGCAAUGCUUCUUUUGAUUCUAGUACUAGUCUGUGUUCAACAAGUAACAAGCGGUAUACCGGGUAUAUCUGUUUACAAGAGAAAUGCAGAUAAAGACUGUCCCCAGGGCAUCAUAGACGAUUGUGCUAAGAAGGGAUGUGAUUAUUUACCUAAUGGAAUAGACUCCUGUGUUUGUUACUGUCCGGGUGAUAUUAACAAAGGAAAGUGAAUAUGUUGUCCUAUAUGCAGACUGGCUGAAUGAAACAACAUAAUACAGUGGAUGUCAAGUGCAUUUAAUGAUUGCAUAUCAUAAAAUAUAUUAAAUAGUUUUCAUUUC